CGCCAAUCAUAAUCCAAAUAAAAUAAGUGGGGUUAACAAAUACAUGUUGCAAAAUUCCUAUCGAACACAUUGACAUUAAAAAAUAAAUAAAUCGUAAGGAAAACAAAAAAAAAUAAAAAAUGAUGGUGAGCUUUGUCUGUCGUGUUACCAACCCUCCAAUCAAGCACCUGUAAGAUAGAAGCUUUGUGGGGAAGCUACUGGUUGUCUUGGCCCCAUCCAGGUUUCCUGUAAAGAUAUUGCAGGUUUUUCCUGGCCUCCCUGACGUUCCAGCUGUAGUAUGAGUGAUGGUAAUGCUCAAAUAUAUGUCUUACGAUCAACUUGUAGUUUAAAAAAAAAAAUAAAAAAUUCUAUUUGCAUAUAACAUGAUUUUAAUCAAUUAAUUAUUUGAAGUGUGUCGAAAGACAAAUAUAGACGACAUGUCUUCAAAAAGCACAAAGAUCAUCUGUCUUCUAUACGAUUACAGUUGUGGUGGGGGUUGGGUUUUUUUUUCGUCUAUGGGGAAUACACAUGCUGUGUAUUUGUGGGGAUGGAGUGCUCCCAAAGGUCACCCUCAACCCCAUAGACUCACACAAAUCAAUGUAUUAUACAGUGUAUUGUAUAGUAAACAAUGACCAUCACGGGGAUCUACUACCCCUUGGACAUUAAAGUAAACAAUGACCAUCACGGGGAUCUACUACCCCUUGGACAUUUAGGAUGCCCAUCUCGGGGAUCUACUACCCC